AAAACAAGCAAAUUUUAUUAAAGGAAAAUUUUGCAGGUUUAAGGUUUGCAGGUGAAAUUUUGUAGGUGAAAAGGUUUACUUUUCACCAGUCUGUUCUGGCAUGCUUCUAAUGAUGUCAGAGUCACCUAAAAAAUAUUAAAAAAAAAAAAAAAAACCAGUAAUUUUACAAUUCAUUUAAUAGCAACUGGUACCAUAAAAUUUCUCUACCUUUGGUUAUCCCUUCUGUAGACAAUGGUCUGCAAAUUAGCACUGACUUUUUGCAAAAGUUAUCACAUUAGCUGUACUGUCAUUUUUCUUAAGGUUGACCAAAGAUAACCUAGAAUCACAGCCAUUAUAUAAUCACAUAAAAUGAUCAUAUAAUAAAAUUGGUUUAUCACCAGCAUUUAUAAAACCAGACCUAGGGAAAGAACUAGGUUUGGGGACACAUGCAUGGUCUUAAUAUAGCGAAUGUUUAGCCUGUCCUGACUAUUACAAAAUCAGAACAGCGAGAAUAUUCGCAGUAUUCUAUGAAUCAAAGAUUCACAAUUGGAAAACAGAAUCAUGUAGAUUUUUCGGCACUUUUUUUUUUCUCAAGCUAAUUUUACAUGUCUGUUCUCAAGAAGCAAUAAUUACUUUCUUCUGUUUUGCCAGAUUAUUCUCUCCUUAUAAUUUCACCUUUUACCAAAUCUAUGUCAUUAUUUCAUAGGUACUUCAUCAAAUGAAAUUCAUUAUCUGACAGUAAAAAUUUUAACUCAUAAUAAAGCCAAUUAUAAUGUAUUGGCAUUCAUUACCAAUUCUCUACAAAAUACAACUACACGAUAUGCCUUGCUAGAUCCAUAUUCUAUCUGAAUUUAGGAACCAAAGACAUUUGCGUAGUAAGAAAUACUUGUCCAGACAUUAGAAAGGCAAAAAAAAAAAAAGACUUUAUGAUUUAAAAAGCAUACCUGGAUCAAUGAUAGCCAGUGUGCACACUCUGUAGUAUUUUCCGCAUGCUGUGCCCAGUUCAAUAUUAUUGCCACUGUAGUGAUGGACACCAGUUUUAGCCAACAUAGCAUAGUACUCUAUUUCAGAUUUCCUUUGGGAACCAAAAAGGGCAAAUAAAUAAAUGCGAUACCAAGUGACUGACAGACUAAAUGUUACUACUUCUUUUACUAGUGUUAAUGUUGUUAAGGCCUUCAAAAAGUAACAAAAUCACAUAUUACUCUUAAAAACAUCACAUUCAUUAUCCAAUACAAACCAACAUUUGUAUGUAUCCCUUGCAAGUGAAGGGGCAACCAGCAAAUAUCUACUCAACCCCUACUAUGUUUAAGACAGUAUCAACACUCACGGAAGAGGGUAAGAUGCAAAUAAAUGAAAGCAAAGCAUUAUUUAGCAUUAGUAAGGACCACAUACUUUAUAUUUCCAUGACAAUCUCUAAAGUAGGUAUUAUAUACUUUUUUUUUUGAGAUGGAAUCUCAUUCUGUCGCUCAGGCAGAUCGUGCAGUGGCACGAUCUCAGCUCACUGCAACUUCCACCUCCCGAGUUCAAGUGAUUCUCCUGCCUCAGCCUCUCAAGUAUCUGGGAUUACAGGCAUGCACCACCACACCCAGCUAAUUUUUUAUAUUUUUGGUAGACGGGGUUUCACCAUGAAUCGGAAAGGAGUCCUAUACUAUCUUGCCACUCAAUUAUGUGGAUCCACAUACCAGCAAUAGUGCUACAAUGUAUUAGUUAAAAAAGCGCCUCAAGCCGGGCACAGUGGCUCACACCUGUGAUCUCAGCAGUUUGGGAGGCCGAGGUGGGUGGAUUACCUAAGGUCAGGAGUCCGAGACCAGCCUGGCCAGCAUGGCGAAACCCCAUCUCUACUAAAAAUACAAAAAUUAGCCAGGCAUGGUGGCAGGUGCCUGUAAUCCCAGCUACUCGGGAGGGUGAGGCAGAAUUGCUUGAACCUGGGAGGCGGAGGUUGCAGUGAGCUUAGAUUGUGCCAUUGUACUCCAGCCGGGGUGACAAGAGCAAAACUCUGUCUUAAAAAAAAUAAAAUAA
rnacentral:antisense_RNA from 1 species